rnacentral:rRNA from 1 species
GACGAACGCUGGCGGCGUGCUUAACACAUGCAAGUCGAACGGAAAGGCCCUGCUUUUGUGGGGUGCUCGAGUGGCGAACGGGUGAGUAACACGUGAGUAACCUGCCCUUGACUUUGGGAUAACUUCAGGAAACUGGGGCUAAUACCGGAUAGGAGCUCCUGCUGCAUGGUGGGGGUUGGAAAGUUUCGGCGGUUGGGGAUGGACUCGCGGCUUAUCAGCUUGUUGGUGGGGUAGUGGCUUACCAAGGCUUUGACGGGUAGCCGGCCUGAGAGGGUGACCGGCCACAUUGGGCCUGGGAGCCGGCCCAGCCCCCCCCGGGGGGCAGCAGGGGGGAAUUUUGCACAAGGGGCGGCGGCCUGAGCCAGCACCGCCGGGUGGGGGAUGGCGGCCUUCGGGUUGUAAACCGCUUUCGCCGGUGACGAAGCGUGAGGGCGGGUAUGGGGUAAAGAACCCCCGGCUUACUACG